UCCAAGUUUAAAACGCACAGUACGAGUACGAGUACUCACACAUAUUUGUUUCCAGUAUCUUAUUCUUGUAAUCUUGUUGUUCUAGAUUUGUUGUAGUGACGCUUGUUCUUCUUUUUUUUACUAAUUAUUCUGAUUUGCUACGUGUACUAAAUCCAACUGUUCACACAUAUCAGCUACGGAUAUGCGUACUCGUCAGAGCUUGUCAUAAUGCUGCUAUGGACGCAGCAGUCAAGUCAUGUCAGGAGGAAUUUCUGUUCUGGAAUUUCUGUUCUGUGACUUAAAAUUGUGGAGCACUAUGAUCUUUUAAAAUGUGGUUUGAAGAUACAAUAAUUUUUUGUGGACCGUAAUUUGUCGAAACAGACGUUGAAAAUACUUGGAUAUAACAUUUUUGUCAAAAUAAAAUUUUCUGCAAAGUUAGUUCCCGGGUGUUCAUCGCACCCUAAUCGUGAAGGGUAUGUUCACAGCACCCAAAUGUCCUCGUAGUAGUAAUAAGUAGGUGGUAAUAAGACUAGAUAACUGGACUGGCUUUGAUGCGUGGUAAAUGCUGAUUGUGUUCAAGAAACGUUCUGUAUUGGUAAGAAACUGGAUGAAGAAAUGUAGUAUGUGCUGAAAUGAUGUGACGCGUAAUUUUGUUUCUAUCCAAUGUUCAGUUGAAUAACCCGAUAAAGUACAUUAUGAUAACGGGUAAAAAGAAAAAUUACAAAAUAUCGCAGUAACAUUGGCUGCUAUACGACAAAUAGGUAAUAUGUACGUACAGUGUACACCACAGUCUGACUGCCAAGGACAACGCAACUGCACAUAUCGGACCCGAUUCGCCAGUGGGAAACGACAGCUGCCUGGAAUGUGGAUCAGCGAGGACUACGAAUUAUAAACCUAAGAAAAUACUGGAUCAACGGCGAACACGACCGUGGCUGGAAAUGCGGAAAAUAGUGCAGGCCGAGCGGCCGGGUGCACAAGAUCCAAUGGCACUAGUAAUAAAAUAAAUUUCGCCGCCGCAAGAUGAUAAAACUGCUUACGACAAAAUGGCCUGUUACAUCGUACCAGGCUACCUGCCCCGUACACCUCCACUAAAACAACUUCCGCUUUCGAAUUGUAAGCGGUCCAUAAACAAUAUUAAUUAUCUUACGCUGAUAACUGCGUAACCGGAUGAUGAGCGCGCAAAAGGGUUUCACACCUACGUGAACAAAUCCUGUGGCUACAACAUAACACAAAACGAUGCAGAAAAGUGUCUGGGAGUGCGCCACAACGGAAGUUUCCGUGGAUGUACUGUACAUCAUAAAUGUAUUUGGUCCUCGAUAACCUUUAAUAAGUAUCAUGGUAAGAGUACAAUCUAUGCACCAGAACAAAACAGCAUUUACAAAAGAAACUCUUCCUCUAUGCUAUCCUGAUCGGGGAUCGUACCCAUGGUACCCGUAUCAUAACUCAUAAAGGUCACAGGAAGUACCCAUGGUACCCGUAUCAUAACUCAUAAGCGUCACAGAUGCUGCCGGGAUAGCACGUGGCACCGAGGUGUGUCCCAUCACAUUUUCCAAACUAUUACACCACUGCUCUUUUCUGGAUGAGUUCAAUACUUCCCCGAUAAAAACCAUUGCAAAGAAGCAGAACUUGCUACACAUCCAGAGCAAACGAGAUCUAAGUAUAUGUAACUGUCG